ensembl:lncRNA CHASERR CHD2 adjacent suppressive regulatory RNA
GCCCAGGGCGGCCGGGCCCACGACGCCGAAAGCGCCGCUGCGGUUGCCGCCUCGGAGGCUCCCCCGGGCCCCGGCGGCUGGACCCGGCGCGGGCGGGAGGCUCGGGCGGGCGGUCCGGCCCGGGACUCGGGUUUGGGCGACCAGGAGGUGCCGGUGGCCGCGCUCGGACCCGGUUCUCCAACGGAGGAGCUUUUUAACCUCUUUCCGGUGAGGUGGGAACUCAUCUUCAUGAUCGAAUUUAAAAGAACAAUGGAACCCUGACUACGUUUCAACAAAAAUAAAACUUGUUUUUUUCCCUCCUAUUGGGUGUUGGCUUUUAACUCUUUCAAAGCCGAUUUUGAAACGGCUGCAGUGAUACAUGCGAAGGUGACUUAAGAGAUUAAAAUUAAUUUGGUUGCUGUUGGUUCUGAACAAAUAAUGAGUUCUUUUAUUUGAGGUAUGCCAUUUUGAAGACUGAGACGUUGGAGUUUUAUCCUAGAGGAUAAAGGAA